UAAAAUACCAAAGUACACAAAAUAUAUAUUAUAUACUGUACAUAAAAUAUCAAAGUACACCAAAUACAUAUUAUAUACUGUACAUAAAAUAUCAAAGUACACCAAAUACAUAUUAUAUACUGUUCAUAAAAUAUCAAAGUACACAAAUUACAUGUUAUAUACUGUACAUAAAAUAUCAAUGUGCACCAAAUACAUAUUAUAUACUGUACAUAAAAUAUCAAAGUACACAAAAUACAUAUUAUACACUGUACAUAAAAUAUCAAAGUACACCAAAUAUAUAUUAUAUACUCUACAUAAAAUAUCAAAGU
rnacentral:lncRNA from 10 species